CCGAUUGUGUUCUUGAGGGUUGAAUGAUUUUAUUUCUUUCUCUUCCUCUCCCUCUCUCUGUUUCUCUCUCUCGAUCGAACUCGCCAAUUGACAAUGGAAGGAGAUGGAAUCAGAGGGAUUCAGGUCGGAGGAGAUGCGAAUCGGCGGAGACAACCUUAGAGGUUUGGGUGGUGUUUCGGUUACAGUGAGUUACGCUAGUCUCCUAGCAUUCUGAUUUCUUGUUUUACAAUUUUGGAACCUUAGUGUUUUAGUGUUUCGGUUACGUUCUUCUCCCUGAAAUCGUUCGUGUCACACAUGUACAAACACAUAAGGGAGAAGAACGUGUACGAGAUCCACCAGAUGUGUGAGACAUCGUUCCAGAGCUUAUCGAAACGUCUGUUCAAGGAGACGCCAUGGCCAAGUGUGGAAGCCAUUGCUCCUUACGUAGACAACGACCAGGUCUUCUGCCUUCUGUACCGUGAGAUGUGGUUUCGGCAUCUGUAUGCGAGGUUAUCUCCAACGUUGAAGCAGAGGAUCGAUUCGUAUGACAACUAUUGCAGCCUCUUCGAGGUGGUGUUGCACGGCGUAGUUAAUAUGCAGUUGCCCAACCAGUGGCUGUGGGAUAUGUUGGAUGAGUUUGUCUACCAGUUCCAAAGUUUCUGUCAAUUCAGAGCAAAGCUCAAGAACAAAACAGAGCAGGAGGUUGCAUUGCUCAGGCAGCACGAUAAGGCAUGGAAUGUGUAUGGCGUCCUCAACUUCUUGCAAGUCCUUGUGGAAAAGUCCUCUAUCGUCCAAAUCCUUGAGCAAGAAGAAGACAAGGAACAUUUCACUUCCACUGAUGCUACGACUACUCUGGUGGCAGUAACGUCUUGAAGGUCCUUGGUUACUUCAGCAUGGUCGACCUCUCCAUUGGACCUCUUGGCAUGAACCUCAAUAUUCACGGCUUGCUAAUUGGGAUGGCAUCAAAAAGGGCAAACAAAAACAUUGUCUUUUACAACAAAUCACGGGGGACAUCUAGCGUUCUUCGAAGGAUUAAAUGGAUCUCUGAUUUUUAACUAAGUACUAAUAGUACUUCCUUUACUAAGUACUGCCUACAUAUGUUGUGUACAUGUGGGUUCGAGCCACCGAUGAGUUUCUUGGCGCCCUUAGCUGCAGUCGCUAUAUGCAUAUACAGAAAAUUCAAGAGAAAAGAAGCUCAGAGUCAUCAGGGAAACAAGAGCCUUUGAUAAACCAAGUCUCGUACCUAAACAUUGCAGAAGACGGGUUAGUGUCAUCAGUCAAAUACGAGAAAGACACCAAUACCACCACCGCAUCAUCGAAGCAGAGAGGACGAAAGCCUGAGGAAGAUGUAACAAAGAGAAGCUUUAAGGAGCUGUGUCGGCAGACGAAACGGCCUGUAUGGUUGCUUGGUUGCAGGUUUGCCUUUACUUGGAUUGCUCCUAAACAAUCUCUUCCGUAAGAAGCAACGACCUACAACAACGUCCAAAUCCUGAAAGUUGCUUCCUUUCUCAACAACUCUAUUCACCCAUUCUUAUAUGAUCUGUCCUAAGUUUUUAGAAUCCUAAUUAAAAUUGUCCUAAGCACAAAUCCUCCUAGCUAAUUAAACAUUUAUACUAAUUAUAUUUUACUUAAAAAAAAUUAUUUUCAAUA